rnacentral:rRNA from 1 species
GGAACCCUGAUGCAGCGACGCCGCGUGGAGGAAGAAGGUUUUCGGAUUGUAAACUCCUGUCGUGGAGGGACGAUAAUGACGGUACCUAACAAGAAAGCACCGGCUAACUACGUGCCAGCAGCCGCGGUAAAACGUAGGGUGCAAGCGUUGUCCGGAAUUACUGGGUGUAAAGGGAGCGCAGGCGGACCGGCAAGUUGGAAGUGAAAUCUAUGGGCUCAACCCAUAAAUUGCUUUCAAAACUGCUGGCCUUGAGUAGUGCAGAGGUAGGUGGAAUUCCCGGUGUAGCGGUGGAAUGCGUAGAUAUCGGGAGGAACACCAGUGGCGAAGGCGACCUACUGGGCACCAACUGACGCUGAGGCUCGAAAGCAUGGGUAGCAAACAGGAUUAGAUACCCUGGUAGUCCAUGCCGUAAACGAUGAUUACUAGGUGUUGGAGGAUUGACCCCUUCAGUGCCGCAGUUAACACAAUAAGUAAUCCACCUGGGGAGUACGACCGCAAGGUUGAAACUCAAAGGAAUUGACGGGGGCCCGCACAAGCAGUGGAGUAUGUGGUUUAAUUCGAAGCAACGCGAAGAACCUUACCAGGUCUUGACAUCCGAUGCAUAGCAUAGAGAUAUGUGAAGUCCUUCGGGACAUCGAGACAGGUGGUGCAUGGUUGUCGUCAGCUCGUGUCGUGAGAUGUUGGGUUAAGUCCCGCAACGAGCGCAACCCUUAUUGCCAGUUACUACGCAAGAGGACUCUGGCGAGACUGCCGUUGACAAAACGGAGGAAGGUGGGGAUGACGUCAAAUCAUCAUGCCCUUUAUGCGCUGGGCUACACACGUGCUACAAUGGGUAGUACAGAGAGUCGCAAACCUGCGAGGGGGAGCUAAUCUCAGAAAACUAUUCUCAGUUCGGAUUGUACUCUGCAACUCGAGUACAUGAAGUUGGAAUCGCUAGUAAUCGCAAAUCAGCUAUGUUGCGGUGAAUACGUUCUCGGGUCUUGUACACACCGCCCGUA